AGUUAACAGAGAUAUGACAUGAACAUAUAUUAGAAAAAUGAUUCACACACAAUAGAAAAAUUGAGUAAGACCAGGAUUGGGUGUCUUUGGAGAAUGUAAUUUUGACUUGAAUAUGGAGAUGCUUGUAGAACAGUGUUCCUUCCUCUGAACAUGGCUACAGAAGAACAAAUCAGGUAGUCUGAAGAUGAAAACCAAGAAGCUGUUGGAAGACACAUUCUGAAUUGGCUAGCACAACACUCUGAAACUGGAGGAUAUCAACUGAUAAGAUAUUAAGUUCUCCCUUAGUUUCAAAUACACUGGGUUCAUAAAUUAUUAACAUAAACAAUGGAUGUUCCGUCAAGUUACCGUGAAGACAGCUAGGUCUGCACACCUCCACAAGUGUCGACCCCUCCAAGCACAUCCUCCACCUGGAACU